CCUACGGGAGGCAGCAGUGAGGAAUAUUGGUCAAUGGACGAGAGUCUGAACCAGCCAAGUAGCGUGAAGGAUGACUGCCCUAUGGGUUGUAAACUUCUUUUAUAUGGGAAUAAAAUGUUCCACGUGUGGGAUUUUGUAUGUCCCAUAUGAAUAAGGAUCGGCUAACUCCGUGCCAGCAGCCGCGGUAAUAAGGAGGAUCCGAGCGUUAUCCGGAUUUAUUGGGUUUAAAGGGAGCGUAGGUGGAUUGUUAAGUCAGUUGUGAAAGUUUGCGGCUCAACCGUAAAAUUGCAGUUGAAACUGGCAGUCUUGAGUACAGUAGAGGUGGGCGGAAUUCGUGGUGUAGCGGUGAAAUGCUUAGAUAUCACGAAGAACUCCGAUUGCGAAGGCAGUUCACUGGACUGCAACUGACACUGAGGCUCGAAAGUGUGGGUAUCAAACAGGAGUAGAUACCCUAGUAGUC
rnacentral:rRNA from 1 species